UAACACAUGCAAGUCGAGCGCCCCGCAAGGGGAGCGGCAGACGGGAGAGUAACACGUGGGAACGUACCCUUCAGUUCGGAACAACCCAGGGAAACUUGGGCUAAUACCGAAUACGUCCGCAAGGAGAAAGAUUUAUCGCUGAAGGAUCGGCCCGCGUCUGAUUAGCUUGUUGGUGGGGUAACGGCCCACCAAGGCUACGAUCAGUAGCUGGUCUGAGAGGAUGAUCAGCCUCACUGGGACUGAGACACGGCCCAGACUCCUACGGGAGGCAGCAGUGGGGAAUAUUGGACAAUGGGCGCAAGCCUGAUCCAGCCAUGCCGCGUGGGUGAUGAAGGCCCUAGGGUUGUAAAGCCCUUUCGGCGGGGAAGAUAAUGACGGUACCCGCAGAAGAGGCCCCGGCUAACUUCGUGCCAGCAGCCGCGGUAAUACGAAGGGGGCUAGCGUUGCUCGGAAUCACUGGGCGUAAAGCGCACGUAGGCGGGUUGUUAAGUCGGAGGUGAAAUCCUGGAGCUCAACUCCAGAACUGCCUUCGAUACUGGCGACCUUGAGUCCGGGAGAGGUGAGUGGAACUGCGAGUGU
rnacentral:rRNA from 1 species